rnacentral:misc_RNA from 1 species
UGACCACUCAAGCUUUAGCUUGGUAUUGGGGUCCGCGGUCUCGCGCCCCCUAAAAUCAGUGGCGGCGCCAUCUGGCUCUAAGCGUAGUAAUCUUAUCCUCGCUAUAGAGUCCUGGUGGGUGCUUGCCAGAACCCCCCAAUCUUAU